AACNAACGCUGGCGGCAGGCCUAACACAUGCAAGUCGAGCGAACCCUUCGGGGUUAGCGGCGGACGGGUGAGUAACGCGUGGGAACGUGCCCUUUGCUACGGAAUAGCCCCGGGAAACUGGGAGUAAUACCGUAUGAGCCCUACGGGGGAAAGAUUUAUCGGCAAAGGAUCGGCCCGCGUUGGAUUAGGUAGUUGGUGGGGUAAUGGCCUACCAAGCUGACGAUCCAUAGCUGGUUUGAGAGGAUGAUCAGCCACACUGGGACUGAGACACGGCCCAGACUCCUACGGGAGGCAGCAGUGGGGAAUCUUAGACAAUGGGGGAAACCCUGAUCUAGCCAUGCCGCGUGAGCGAUGAAGGCCUUAGGGUUGUAAAGCUCUUUCAGCUGGGAAGAUAAUGACGGUACCAGCAGAAGAAGCCCCGGCUAACUCCGUGCCAGCAGCCGCGGUAAUACGGAGGGGGCUAGCGUUGUUCGGAAUUACUGGGCGUAAAGCGCACGUAGGCGGAUUGGUAAGUUGGGGGUGAAAUCCCGGGGCUCAACCCCGGAACUGCCUCCAAAACUCCCAGUCUUGAGGUCGAGAGAGGUGAGUGGAAUUCCGAGUGUAGAGGUGAAAUUCGUAGAUAUUCGGAGGAACACCAGUGGCGAAGGCGG
rnacentral:rRNA from 1 species